CCCUUAGAUGUUCUGGGCCGCACGCGCGCUACACUGACCGGUGCAAAGAGUUGUUUGUCCUUUGCUGCGAGAGGCAUGGGGAAUCUUUGAACGCCGGUCGUGCUGGGGAUAGAUUCUUGGAAUUAAAAUCUUCAACGAGGAAUUCCUAGUAAACGCAAGUCAUCAACUUGCAUUGAUUACGUCCCUGCCCUUUGUACACACCGCCCGUCGCACCUACCGAUUGAAUGUUCCGGUGAAACUUUCGGAUUGCGGCGUUGUGCCUUUACGGGCUCACGCUGUGAGAAGUUAUUUAAACCUUAGCAUUUAGAGGAAGGUAAAGUCGUAACA
rnacentral:rRNA from 1 species